GACGAACGCUGGCGGCGUGCUUAACACAUGCAAGUCGAACGGUAAGGCCCUUCGGGGUACACGAGUGGCGAACGGGUGAGUAACGCGUGGGUGAUCUGCCCUGCACUUCGGGAUAAGCCUGGGAAACUGGGUCUAAUACCGGAUAGGACCCUGGGAUGCAUGUCCUGGGGUGGAAAGCUUUUGCGGUGUGGGAUGGGCCCGCGGCCUAUCAGCUUGUUGGUGGGGUGAUGGCCUACCAAGGCGACGACGGGUAGCCGGCCUGGGAGGGUGACCGGCCACACUGGGACUGAGAUACGGCCCAGACUCCUACGGGAGGCAGCAGUGGGGAAUAUUGCACAAUGGGCGCAAGCCUGAUGCAGCGACGCCGCGUGAGGGAUGACGGCCUUCGGGUUGUAAACCUCUUUCAGCACAGACGAAGCGCAAGUGACGGUAUGUGCAGAAGAAGGACCGGCCAACUACGUGCCAGCCGCCGCUGUAA
rnacentral:rRNA from 1 species